AUAUAUAUAUAAAAUACAAUAAGAGUGAAAAAACUAUAGAAGGCUUGUGUUACUCGGUUAAAGAAUAUAUUUAAAUCGUCAAGUUGGAAAAAUGUUCUAAAAUUUUGCGUAUUCUUACAUUGUUUUGGAGAAA